rnacentral:tRNA from 1 species
AGAGUUGUAACUCAGUGGUAGAGUGCUCGCCUCACAUGUGGAAGGCCCUGGGUUCAAUCUCAGCACCACAU